GUGACGCAGAUGUUACAUCUUUGGUGUAAAGUCACAUGGGGCAAAUUUUAUUUCAAUUUGACGUGUGGUGUUGGCAAAUAAGGUUGUCAAUAAUGGAAUCCAAGCGAGUCUAUGUGGGCGGUCUCUACCAUGAGGCAACAGAUAAGGAUCUGCGACAGUUGUUCUCAAAGUUUGGUGAUGUUGAUAGUGUUGAAAUCAAGAAGCGUUCAGAGAACAAUGUAGUAAACUUUGUAUUUGCUUAUGUAAACGUCAAAACCACUGAUCCUCAAAUCACACAGUGCUUCAGACGUCUAAAUGGCACUUUCUGGAAGGGCAAGAGGCUCAAACUGGAGCUGGCCAAGGAGUCCUUCCUCGCCAAGCUGCAGCGGGAAAGGGAGCAGAACCGCCCGGCGGGCCGUCCUCCACCUCCCCCACCUCCACCCAGAAGGCGCACCAUGCAGGACAGGAUUCUGGAUGACGUGCUGGCGUCAAAGAAACGACGUUCGGAGGACGUCGCGUCAGGCGGUGUGGUAGAUUUUACUGAGGAAGCUCCCUCCUCAGCGCCGGCGCCGGUUCAGAACGGACACCAUGAGUCUCCUGAACCAAAGCGUAAGAAGAAAAAGAAGUCACGAGAGGUCUCUCCGCCUCCGGUUCCGGUCGGGGUAGAGGCGGGCGGGGAUGGAGAUGAGCCUCCGCCUACGCGGGGCGCGCUGCGAAUGUUUGGAGGCAUCGGUGGCGCCCGGACGUUGACCCCAACUGCUCCUGUGUCAGAGUCUGCUGUUCCUGCUUCCACUGUCUCUCCAUCCCCGGCUCCUUCGUCAUCGUCUCCCGCUACUGCCCCUGCCUCUCACACUCCAGUCAGUGGAGACUUUCUGUCCCGUCUGGAGGCGUUUAGCUCGGUCUGGGGAGACGACGGGGAUGGUACACCUCGGGAACCGUUUGUGCCAGCUCGACGCGCCGCCACCACCCCUGUUGUCGCAGCCGCUCCCGCCACCGUCACUGCCACCCCCGUCUCCACCGCGAAAGCCACUCCCAAAGCCUCCGCCAACGUCCCCGCUACUUCUACGGCCAAAGCCGCAGCCACCGCCAGUCCUACCGCCCCCGCCCCCGCUCCGGUGGUGAGGCGGGGUCAGACGGCGGUGGAUGAUAACGAGAGGCGGAUGGCGUCACUGAGACAGAAACAGGAGGCGUUCCAGAGUCAGAAGCGGGCGCUGCAGCUGGCACUUUCGGCAAAGGCAGACAUACCGCGUCCCAACAAGCGGAUCGUGUUCGACGCUUCGGAUGACGAAGACGCCGAGCCGGAGCGGGAGUCCUCGGGAGGAGUCGGGAGGACUCCCGGCCGAGGACCCAGCCUGUUUGGGGAGGACGAGGACGAAGAGGAGGAGCAGGAGGACGCUGACGAUUUCAGAGUCCGGCCGCAGUACGAGGGAGCCAAGGGACAAAAGCUACAGGCACUCCAGGCUCGGUUCGGUGCGGACGACCGGUUCACGCUGGACGAGCGGUUCGCCGAAGAGGACCAACAGUCCCCCGAGGAUAGAGGAGAGGAGGAGGAGGAGAGAGGAGAGGAGGUGCGGGAGGAGCACCGUCAGCAGAUGAACAUCCUGGACAGCGUGCUCGGCACCGCCGCAGAGCCAGAGAGGAAGGGCAAACUCGCCAAAAAGAAGAACAGCGACAGCGGCCCGGUGCGGUUCGACCCGUCCCUGGAGUCGCACGCCCAGUACCAGCUCGACGCCAAGAAGCAGAAACAAAAGAAGAAGUCUUUGGACGCCGACCGUACCCCCACCCCAGCCACCACCCCCGCUGCCGCCCCGGCUCCUGCGGUAGAAUCGGGCACAUUCUACCAGGUGGCACCGCAGCUGGGAGACCUGUUCAGCCGCGGAGGUUCUACCGGCGGCGGGGGAGGAUUCAGCCUGCUGAAGAUGAUGGGCAGAGCGGCAGAUGAUGAUGAAGAUGAAAAAGAAGAUGAAUACAAGACGUCUGAAAUAAAGGAAAAGAAGAAGCGUCACAGCAUUGAGGGUGCCGCCGCCAAUCCGUUCCGUUACGACUCGAGUAGUUCCGAAGACGAGGCGGAAGAUGGCAGCACUGUGCAGUCACUAGGUGUCGCAGCGGGCGGCGGCUGGACGCAGGCGCGCAAGUUCUUCCUGCAAAAAGAUGACCCGCGACUCGAGGAGGGCCUGGAGUGGGUCCGAUCAGCACCUUCCGUGGACGAGCUGCGGGAGCGGGCAGAGCAGCAGCGUCCCGAGCUGGUGGAGCUGUUCAGAACCAUGCGUCACAGUCGACAGCGCGCGCAACGGAGGGGUCGGGGAAGGGGGCGGCGGAUGGCCGGACGGUGACGAUUGAGAGUCGCCGGGAGGGGUGCCGAUGGGGCUGGAGUGAAUAUAUGGGGACAACGCAGCGCUGGUGUUUUUAGAGACGGGAGAGAAAUGAUGAGUUUGAUAUGAUGAUGCUAUUAAUUCGGUGACGUCAAAGUGCUGGUUCGGUUUGACCAAUGUGAGAGUCGUAUGUUUGUUAUGACUUAUGGAAAUGGUACAAACAGGCCGCUGCGUGAAAGGAACGAUAGACAGGCAAUUGCUCCGUAAUAUCGAAUAUACGUAUAAUCGGCUAUCUUACUUGUGAACCAAUAACCGCGGAACGUCUAGGCGGGUGGUGUUGUAUGAAAAUGUGCGUAAAAUUUUGUUAGAAGUUAGUGCAUUUUUUUGCAGCGAAAUAACAUUGCUUUGCGCCAUUUACUGCGCACGUGCUACAGUCGUGAAGCGAUUCGUGUAACAUGCGUAACAUGUAUCUCGUGCGGCUGGUUCGGCAAAUGAAAUAAUAAUUACCAAUUAUUAUUUAUUACAAAAAAAAAUAGCUUGUUUUGAUAAAGUUGUGUAUGAAGUAGCUAGUAGCUAAUGUGUGGUUGAUAACUUAAGGCUUUUACUUGUGCUGCCUUUUCAAUUUUGCUACAGGCGUUUUCGUGAGACGGUGGCCAUGAGUCUUCUUCCGCACUCAAUGCACCUACUGAGGGCCAGCUCCCGACGCCUGCCUGCUCUGCUCACUGCUCGUCUCAGCUCAACAGCCAGUGACGCAGCGGCAGUACCAGCAGCAAGUGGUGCCAACACUGCCUCUACCAGCACAGCUGCAUCCCCUCCAACAGAUGCUCCAUCAGCAGCAGCAGCAGCAGCAGCGUCCUCUGAUGCACCCCUCUUCUCCAUGGAUAACCCCUACCAGGAGGAACGCCGCCUGUGCAUAGCCUGCCGCCACAACAUACGAUUCGACUACAAGAACGUCCGACUUCUGAGUCAGUUCAUGUCGCCUUUCACGGGCCGUAUGUACGGCCGGCACGUGACUGGGUUGUGCCGUCAGCAGCACGAAAAACUUGAUGCGGAGUACAAGAAGGCGAUAGCUUGUGGAUACAUGGGUGUCAUGAUGAAAGAGGUCGAGUUCCUGCGCGAUCCGAAGAUCUGCGACCCCACCAACCCAGUGCGACCUCAUAGGUUCUAGUCGGCAAGGCGUAUGGACAGAGUUAAAAGUGAGCGAGUGGGUGAGAAAGUGAGUUGUUGCAGUGUGGUGGAUGCCAUGGGAUGGCUUGCUGAUAAUGUAACUGAGUUGAUGUCAGCCAGUUAUCAGGAUUGUGGUUAAGAUACAACGUGCGAAAGAU